AACAGGCUGAUCUUCCCCAAGAGUCCACAUCGACGGGAAGGUUUGGCACCUCGAUGUCGGCUCUUCGCCACCUGGAGCUGUAGGUGGUUCCAAGGGUUGGGCUGUUCGCCUCUCCCGGCUGAAACAAAUAUGCCCUAUUUUCCGAUACUUGAUCAAGCAUU
rnacentral:ncRNA from 1 species